rnacentral:rRNA from 1 species
GCUUACCAUGCAGUCGAACGGUGAAGCCCAGCUUGCUGGGUGGAUCAGUGGCGAACGGGUGAGUAACACGUGAGCAACCUGCCCCUGACUCUGGGAUAAGCGCUGGAAACGGCGUCUAAUACUGGAUACGAGACGUGACCGCAUGGUCAACGUUUGGAAAGAUUUUUCGGUUGGGGAUGGGCUCGCGGCCUAUCAGCUUGUUGGUGAGGUAAUGGCUCACCAAGGCGUCGACGGGUAGCCGGCCUGAGAGGGUGACCGGCCACACUGGGACUGAGACACGGCCCAGACUCCUACGGGAGGCAGCAGUGGGGAAUAUUGCACAAUGGGCGCAAGCCUGAUGCAGCAACGCCGCGUGAGGGACGACGGCCUUCGGGUUGUAAACCUCUUUUAGCAAGGAAGAAGCGAAAGUGACGGUACUUGCAGAAAAAGCGCCGGCUAACUACGUGCCAGCAGCCGCGGUAAUACGUAGGGCGCAAGCGUUAUCCGGAAUUAUUGGGCGUAAAGAGCUCGUAGGCGGUUUGUCGCGUCUGCUGUGAAAACCCGAGGCUCAACCUCGGGCCUGCAGUGGGUACGGGCAGACUAGAGUGCGGUAGGGGAGAUUGGAAUUCCUGGUGUAGCGGUGGAAUGCGCAGAUAUCAGGAGGAACACCGAUGGCGAAGGCAGAUCUCUGGGCCGUAACUGACGCUGAGGAGCGAAAGGGUGGGGAGCAAACAGGCUUAGAUACCCUGGUAGUCCACCCCGUAAACGUUGGGAACUAGUUGUGGGGUCCAUUCCACGGAUUCCGUGACGCAGCUAACGCAUUAAGUUCCCCGCCUGGGGAGUACGGCCGCAAGGCUAAAACUCAAAGGAAUUGACGGGGACCCGCACAAGCGGCGGAGCAUGCGGAUUAAUUCGAUGCAACGC